rnacentral:rRNA from 1 species
CACGUAGGGGGCAAGCGUUGUCCGGAAUCAUUGGGCGUAAAGAGCUCGUAGGCGGCUCAGUAAGUCGGGUGUGAAAACUCUGGGCUCAACCCAGAGCCGCCACCCGAUACUGCUGUGACUUGAGUUCGGUAGGGGAGCGGGGAAUUCCUGGUGUAGCGGUGAAAUGCGCAGAUAUCAGGAGGAACACCAGUGGCGAAGGCGCCGCUCUGGGCCGAGACUGACGCUGAGGAGCGAAAGCGUGGGUAGCAAACAGG